rnacentral:rRNA from 1 species
CACGUAGGGGACGAGCGUUGUCCGGAUUCAUUGGGCGUAAAGCGCGCGUAGGCGGCUCGGAAAGUCGGUCGUGAAAUCCCCGGGCUCAACCCGGGAACUGCGUCCGAUACUGGAAGGCUUGAAUCCGGGAGAGGGAUGCGGAAUUCCAGGUGUAGCGGUGAAAUGCGUAGAUAUCUGGAGGAGCACCGGUGGCGAAGGCGGCAUCCUGGACCGGCAUUGACGCUGAGGCGCGAAAGCCAGGGGAGCAAACGGG